UGCGAGUCAUAUGUUCUUCGUGAACAUGGCGUACUGCUCAGUAACACGUGGAUAACCUGCCCUUGGGUCCGGCAUAACCCCGGGAAACUGGGGAUAAUUCCGGAUAACGCAUAUAUGCUGGAAUGCUUUAUGCGUCAAAUGGAUUCGUCUGCCCAAGGAUGGGUCUGCGGCCUAUCAGGUAGUAGUGGGUGUAAUGUACCUACUAGCCGACGACGGGUACGGGUUGUGAGAGCAAGAGCCCGGAGAUGGAUUCUGAGACAUGAAUCCAGGCCCUACGGGGCGCAGCAGGCGCGAAAACUUUACAAUGCGGGAAACCGUGAUAAGGGGACACCGAGUGCCAGCAUCAUAUGCUGGCUGUCCGGGUGUGUAAAAUACACCCGUUAGCAAGGGCCGGGCAAGACCGGUGCCAGCCGCCGCGGUAACACCGGCGGCCCGAGUGGUGAUCGUGAUUAUUGGGUCUAAAGGGUCCGUAGCCGGUUUGGUCAGUCCUCCGGGAAAUCUGACGGCUUAACCGUUAGGCUUUCGGAGGAUACUGCCAGGCUUGGAACCGGGAGAGGUAAGAGGUACUACAGGGGUAGGAGUGAAAUCUUGUAAUCCCUGUGGGACCACCUGUGGCGAAGGCGUCUUACCAGAACGGGUUCGACGGUGAGGGACGAAAGCUGGGGGCACGAACCGGAUUAGAUACCCGGGUAGUCCCAGCCGUAAACGAUGCUCGCUAGGUGUCAGGCAUGGCGCGACCGUGUCUGGUGCCGUAGGGAAGCCGUGAAGCGAGCCACCUGGGAAGUACGGC
rnacentral:rRNA from 1 species